rnacentral:rRNA from 1 species
AGCAUUAUACAGCGAAACUGCGAAUGGCUCAUUAUAUAAGUUAUCGUUUAUUUGAUAGUGCCUUACUACUUGGAUAACCGUGGUAAUUCUAGAGCUAAUACAUGCUGAAAGCCCCGACUCACGGAGGGGCGUAUUUAUUAGAUUAAAAACCAAUGCCCUUCGGGGCUCCUUGGUGAUUCAUGAUAACUUCUCGAAUCGCACGGCCUUGCGCCGGCGAUGGUUCAUUCAAAUUUCUUCCCUAUCAACUUUCGAUGUUUGGGUAGUGGCCAAACAUGGUGGCAACGGGUAACGGAGGGUUAGGGCUCGACCCCGGAGAAGGAGCCUGAGAAACGGCUCCUACAUCCAAGGAAGGCAGCAGGCGCGCAAAUUACCCAAUCCCGACUCGGGGAGGUAGUGACAAUAAAUACUGAUGCAGGGCUCUUUAGGGUCUUGCAAUUGGAAUGAGUACAAUUUAAAUCCCUUAACGAGGAACAAUUGGAGGGCAAGUCUGGUGCCAGCAGCCGCGGUAACUCCAGCUCCAAUAGCGUAUAUUAAAGUUGUUGUGGUUAAAAAGCUCGUAGUUGAACCUUGGGCCUGGCCGUCCGGUCCGCCUCACCGCGUGCACUGGCACGGCCGGGCCUUCCCACCGCGGAAUCGCAUGCCCUUUACUGGGCGUGUCGGGGAAGCGGUACUUUUACUGUGAAAAAAUUAGAGUGCUCUAAGCAGGCCUAUGCUCGAAUACAUUAGCAUGGAAUAAUAGAAUAGGACAGGCGUUCUAUUUUGUUGGUUUCUAGGACGUCUGUAAUGAUUAACAGAAACAAUCGGGGGCGUCAGUAUUGCAUCGUCAGAGGUGAAAUUCUUAGAUCGACGCAAGACUAACUACUGCGAAAGCAUUCGCCAAGGGUGUUUUCAUUAAUCAGGAACGAAAGUUAGGGGAUCGAAGACGAUCAGAUACCGUCGUAGUCUUAACCAUAAACUAUGCCGACUAGGGAUCGGGCGGUGUUAAUUUUUGACCCGCUCGGCACCUUACGAGAAAUCUUAAGUGCUGG